AGAGUUUGAUCCUGGCUCAGAAUCAACGCUGGCGGCAGGCCUAACACAUGCAAGUCGAGCGCCCGUAGCGCAAGGGGAGCGGCAGACGGGUGAGUAACGCGUGGGAAUCUACCUCGUGGUACGGAAUAGCCCAGGGAAACUUGGAGUAAUACCGUAUGAGCCCGAAAGGGGAAAGAUUUAUCGCCAUGAGAUGAGCCCGCGUUGGAUUAGCUAGUUGGUGAGGUAACGGCUCACCAAGGCGACGAUCCAUAGCUGGUCUGAGAGGAUGAUCAGCCACACUGGGACUGAGAUACGGGCCAGACUCCUACGGGAGGCAGCAGUAGGGAAUAUUGGACAAUGGGCGCAAGCCUGAUCCAGCCAUGCCGCGUGCGGGAAGAAGGCCUUCGGGUUGUAAACCGCUUUUGUCAGGGAAGAAAAUGACGGUACCCGCAGAAGAAGCCCCGGCUAACUCUGUGCCAGCAGCCGCGGUAAUACAGAGGGGGCAAGCGUUGUUCGGAAUCACUGGGCGUAAAGCGCACGUAGGUGGAUAGUUAAGUUCGGGGUGAAAUCCCAGGGCUCAACCCUGGAACUGCCUC
rnacentral:rRNA from 1 species